rnacentral:rRNA from 1 species
UAUUCCGCUCCAUAGCGUAUAUUAAAGUUGUUGCANUUAAAAGCUCGUAGUUGAAUUUCGGGGUCAGUAGGUUGGUCAUGCCACUGGUAUGUACUGGUCUCACUGAUUCCUCCUUCCUGAUGAGCCGUAAUGCCAUUAAUUUGGUGUUGCGAGGAAUCUGGACUGUUACUUUGAAAAAAUUAGAGUGUUUAAAGCAGGCUAACGUUUGAAUACAUUAGCAUGGAAUAAUGAAAUAGGACGUUCGAUCUUAUUUUGUUGGUUUCUAAGAUUGACGUAAUGAUUAAUAGGGAUAGUUGGGGGCAUUAGUAUUCAAUUGUCAGAGGUGAAAUUCUUGGAUUUAUUGAAGACUAAUUACUGCGAAAGCAUUUGCCAAGGAUGUUUUCAUUAAUCAAGAACGAAAGUUAGGGGAUCGAAGACGAUCAGAUACCGUCGUAGUCUUAACCAUAAACUAUGCCGACUAGGGAUCGGAUGAUGUUAAUUUUUUAAUGACUCAUUCGGCACCUUACGGGAAACA